GAAAGUGCCGGAGUCUACAUCAUCUGGGACACCAUUCUCCUGAACAACAACGCUGUGGUCGACCCGAUCACGGGAUAAGCGGAACCGCAUGUAAACUCCACUGCGGAUGCCAACAGCAGCAAGAUAGAAAUAUUUGCUGAUGUAUCAUACAAUCCACGGCUAGGCAAUAAAAUGCUUCAAUGCUUUAAUCUUUA